ACCCGCUGAACUUAAGCAUAUCAAUAAGCGGAGGAAAAGAAACUAACAAGGAUUCCCCUAGUAACGGCGAGUGAAGCGGGAUGAGCUCAAAUUUAAAAUCUGGCAGUCUUCGAUUGUCCGAGUUGUAAUCUAGAGAAGCGUUUUCCGCGCUGGACUGUGUACAAGUUUCCUGGAUACGGAACAUCAUAGAGGGUGAGAAUCCCGUCCUUGACACAGACUCCCAGUGCUAUGUGAUACGCUCUCGACGAGUCGAGUUGUUUGGGAUUGCAGCUCAAAAUGGGAGGUAAAUUCCUUCUAAAGCUAAAUAUUGGCGAGAGACCGAUAGCGAACAAGUACCGUGAGGGAAAGAUGAAAAGCACUUUGGAAAGAGAGUUAAACAGUACGUGAAAUUGUUAAAAGGGAAACGAUUGAAGUCAGUCGCGUUCGUUUGGACUCAGCUUAGCCUCGGUUAGGUGCAUUUCCUUAUGAACGGGCCAACGUCCAUGUUGCCUGCUGGAAAAGGGGUGGAGAAAUGUGGCUUCUUCGGGAGUGUUAUAGUCUCUGCUCGUAUACAGUAUAGUGAUAUGGAGUGGUACAGCAUGCUUCGGCGGUGCUUGUGUUGGCAUAAUGGCUUUAAACGACCCGUCUUGAAACACGG
rnacentral:rRNA from 1 species